UACGUAGGGUGCAAGCGUUGUCCGGAAUUAUUGGGCGUAAAGAGCUCGUAGGCGGUUUGUCGCGUCUGCUGUGAAAACUGGGGGCUCAACCCCCAGCCUGCAGUGGAUACGGGCAGACUAGAGUGCGGUAGGGGAGAUUGGAAUUCCUGGUGUAGCGGUGGAAUGCGCAGAUAUCAGGAGGAACACCGAUGGCGAAGGCAGAUCUCUGGGCCGUAACUGACGCUGAGGAGCGAAAGCAUGGGGAGCGAACAGG
rnacentral:rRNA from 1 species